rnacentral:lncRNA from 1 species
AACUCGGUGGUGGCCACUGCGCAGACCAGACUUCGCUCGUACUCGCGCGCCUCGCUCCGCUUUUCCUCCGCAACCAUGUCUGACAAACCCGAUAUGGCUGAGAUCGAGAAAUUCGAUAAGCCGAAACUGAAGAAGACAGAGACGCAAGAGAAAAAUCCACUGCCUUCCAAAGAAACGAUUGAACAGGAGAAGCAAGCAGGCGAAUCGUAAUGAGGCGUGCGCCGCCAAUAUGCACUGUACAUUCCACAAGCAUUGCCUUCUUAUUUUACUUCUUUUAGCUGUUUAACUUUGUAAGAUGCAAAGAACUACUGACAACGAAGGCCGCGCCUGCCUUUCCCAUCUGUCUGUCUGGCUGGCAGGGAAGGAAAGAACUUGCAUGUUGGUGAAGGAAGAAGUGGGGUGGAAGAAGUGGGGUGGGACAACAGUGAAAUCUAGAGUAAAACCAAGCUGGCCCAAGGUGUCCUGCAGGCUGUAAUGCAGUUUAAUCAGAGUGCCAUUUUUUUUUUGUUCAAAUGAUUUUAAUUAUUGGAAUGCACAAUUUUUUUAAUAUGCAAAUAAAAAGUUU